rnacentral:rRNA from 1 species
CUCAAUGCAUAGAGCGGAUGCCCUGGCACUUAACUUCGAUGAAGGACGUGGCUAACUGCGAUAAGUUUCGGCGAGCUGUCAGCAAGCUAUGACCCGGAAAUUUCCGAAUGGGGAAACCCAAUUCGAUUUAUAUCGAAUUACUCCGCAAGGAGAGAGUUACUCGGCGAAUUGAAACAUCUUAGUAACCGAGGAAAAGAAAUCAUUAUGAGAUUCCCUUAGUAGUGGCGAGCGAAGAGGGAAAAGCCCAAACCAUUUUGUUUCGACGAGAUGGGGUUGUAGGACUUCGAUGUGAUCUAUAUUUUCUUAAUCAAAGGUCUUUGGAAAAAGCCACCAUAGAGGGUGAUAGUCCCGUAGGUGAAAAGAAAAUAAAAAUCUAGAAGUAUCCUGAGUAGGAUCGGACACGUGAAAUCCGGUUUGAAUCUGGGAGGACCACCUUCCAAGGCUAAAUAGGUUAAGUGACCGAUAGUGAACUAGUACCGCGAGGGAAAGGUGAAAAGACCCCCUGUGAGGGGUGUGAAAUAGAACCUGAAACUUUAUGCAUACAUAGACCAGGAGUCCCGCAAGGGAUGACUGGGUGCUUAUUGGAGAACGAACCAACGAGUUAGCUGUGUGGCGCUAGGUUAAGGGAGUAAUACCCGAAGCCGUAGUGAAAGCGAGGACGAAUAGUCCGUUUAGUGUCACAUACUAGACCCGAAGCCGGAUGAGCUACCCUUGGGCAGGUUGAACUCUAGGGAAACCUAGAGGGAGGACCGAACACACCAGUGUUGCAAGACUGGGUGAUGACCUGAGGGUAGGCUAGAGAAAUUCUUAUCGAAUUCGGCGAUAGCUGGUUCUCCUCGAAAUAGUCUUUGGGCUAGCCUUGGUUUCGAAACUAAGGGGGGUAGAGCUCUGUUUAGACUAGGGAGCGAAAUAAGCUUACCAAAUCUAGACAAACUUCGAAUACCCUUGGUGAAUUACCAGGAGUCGGACGAUGAUAGUCAAGUACCGUCGUCAAAAGGGGAACAGCCCGCACCAUCAUCUAAGGUCCCUAAUGAGAUUUAAGUGUUGAAGGAUGUGAGAUUACUUACACAACCAGGAGGUUUGCUUAGAAGCAGCCACCCUUUAAAGAGUGCGUAACAGCUCACUGGUCUACGUGAUUUCGCGCCGAAGAUAUAUCGGGGCUAAAAUCUCAACCGAAGAUAUGGACUUUACUUUUUAGUAAAGUGGUAGAGGAGCAUUCCUGUCAGCAACGAAGCAUAACUGUGAGGUUGUGUGGAGCGUCAGGAAGAGAGAAUGUUGGUAUGAGUAACGUUAGCCGGAUGAAAAAUCCGGCCGCCGAUUGCCCAAGGUUUCCCAAGCAACGAUAAUCGGCUUGGGGUUAGUCGAUCCUAAGGUUUAGCCGAAAGGCAAAGCUGACUGGAUAACGGGUUAAUAUUCCCGUACAACUUUGGAAUCGCCAGAGCAAAACUAGAAGGGAGCAGAAGUUGGUUAUUUCGACUUCGGUUGAAAUAAUUGACACCUGCGAACGGAAGGUCGCGCUAGAUUGGGAGUGACGCAGAUGGAUAACGUGAGCGUAUUAAUGAAUUUACGUGUAAACCAUAAAUUUAUGCUCUUAUAGGCAAAUCCGUAAGAGUUAGUGAGUGGUGACGCCGAAUACCCUACGCAAGUAGGACGAGUCGUGUGAGUUCAUCUGCCAAGAAAAACUUCAAAAUCGAGAUUCCAAAGUUAUCGUACCGUAAACCGACUAAGGUGGGCUAGGAGAGGAUCCUAAGGCGAUCGAGUAAUGCUUCCCCAAGGAACUCGGCAAAACAGCAGGCGUAACUUCGGGAUAAGCCUUGCCUUAUGGAUUAUUCAGCAAUGUUUAGUCUGUGAGGCCACAGUUAAAGACAUCGGGCGACUGUUUAUCAAAAACACAGGUCUCUGCAAAUUCGUAAGAAUAUGUAUAGGGGCUGACGCUUGGCCAGUGCCAGAAGGUCACGAGGAGGGGUGUAUGCUCCGAAUCUAAGCCCUGGUGAACGCCGGCCGUAACUAUAACGGUCCUAAGGUAGCGAAAUUCCUUGUCGGGUAAGUUCCGACCCGCACGAACAGCGUAACGGUCUGAUGACUGUCUCAGGGAAGUACUCGGUGAAAUUGCAGUAUCGGUAAAAAUGCCGAUUUAUCGCGGGAGGGCGAAAAGACCCCGUGAAGCUUUACUAUAACCUGGCAUUGACACGAGAUAUGUUUUGCGUAGCAUAUGUGGGAGACUUUGAUGUUCCGCUUCUGGGUGGGACGGAGUCGACAGUGAAAUACCACACUGAACUUAUUUUGUUUCUAACCCACGCAAAACGUGGGAACAGUGUUUGGCGGGUAGUUUAUCUGGGGCGGAUGCCUCCUAAAGAGUAACGGAGGCGCGCAAUGGUUGGCUAGCUUCGGAUGGAAAUCGAAGUGGUCGUGCAAACGCACAAGCCAGCUUAACUGCGAGACAAACAAGUCGAGCAGAUACGAAAGUAGGCGUUAGUGAUCCGAUAGUUACACGUGGGUGUACUAUCGCUCAACGGACAAAAGCUACUCCGGGGAUAACAGGCUAGUCGGGCCCAAGAGUUCAUAUCGACGGCUCGGUUCGGCACCUCGAUGUCGGCUCAUCGCAUCCUAGGGCUGGAGAAGGUCCUAAGGGUUUGGCUGUUCGCCAAUUAAAGCGGUACGCGAGCUGGGUUCAGAACGUCGUGAGACAGUAGAAAUUUUGGCUUAUACAAGCUAAAAAACGGCCAUUGCUGUCUAUAAAUUUGGCUAAAUGCUGGAAAAUCUGAGUAUUUCAUAUUACCGUGUCGUAAAGUUUAUGAUAAGGUGAAAAUAUAUGAAUGCAGACAAUCAGCAGGAAAGAUCAAAUGGUGGAUUAUAUAAUUACAUAGCAGGUUUUGUUGACGGAGAAGGUAGUUUCCAUAUUGCAAUUCAACGUAGAAAUUCAAUGCGUUUGAAAUGGCAAUUAA